rnacentral:rRNA from 1 species
GACGAACGCUGGCGGCGUGCCUAAUACAUGCAAGUAGAACGCACAGUUUAUACCGUAGCUUGCUACACCAUAAACUGUGAGUUGCGAACGGGUGAGUAACGCGUAGGUAACCUGCCUGGUAGCGGGGGAUAACUAUUGGAAACGAUAGCUAAUACCGCAUAAUAUUGAUUAUUGCAUGAUAAUUGAUUGAAAGAUGCUAUUGCAUCACUACCAGAUGGACCUGCGUUGUAUUAGCUAGUAGGUGAGGUAACGGCUCACCUAGGCGACGAUACAUAGCCGACCUGAGAGGGUGAUCGGCCACACUGGGACUGAGACACGGCCCAGACUCCUACGGGAGGCAGCAGUAGGGAAUCUUCGGCAAUGGACGAAAGUCUGACCGAGCAACGACGCGUGAGUGAAGAAGGUUGUCGGAUCGUAAAGCUCUGUUGUAAGAGAAGAACGGGUGUGAGAGUGGAAAGUUCACACUGUGACGGUAGCUUACCAGAAAGGGACGGCUAACUACGUG